AUUGAACGCUGGCGGCAGGCCUAGCACAUGCAAGUCGAACGGUAACAGGAAGAAGCUUGCUUCUUUGCUGACGAGUGGCGGACGGGUGAGUAAUGUCUGGGAAACUGCCUGAUGGAGGGGGAUAACUACUGGAAACGGUAGCUAAUACCGCAUAACGUCGCAAGACCAAAAAGGGGGACCUUCGGGCCUCUUGCCAUCGGAUGUGCCCAGAUGGGAUUAGCUAGUAGGUGGGGUAACGGCUCACCUAGGCGACGAUCCCUAGCUGGUCUGAGAGGAUGACCAGCCACACUGGAACUGAGACACGGUCCAGACUCCUACGGGAGGCAGCAGUGGGGAAUAUUGCACAAUGGGCGCAAGCCUGAUGCAGCCAUGCCGCGUGUAUGAAGAAGGCCUUCGGGUUGUAAAGUACUUUCAGCGGGGAGGAAGGGAGUAAAGUUAAUACCUUUGCUCAUUGACGUUACCCGCAGAAGAAGCACCGGCUAACUCCGUG
rnacentral:rRNA from 1 species